AUGUCCGCCCCCUCUGGAGACAACCCACCAGUAGAGAAGAAAUACAAGCCUCUGAACACCACCCCCAACAGCACCAAGUAAAUCAAAUUCAAGAUCAUCGCCGUGCAACCAAUGGGGAGCUUGGGUUUCCUGGAUGCCCUUAACUCUGCCCCCAUCCCAGGGAUCACGAUCAAAAAGAAAGUCUUGUCUCCUACGGCAACCAAGGCGAGCCUGUUUGAAGGGAAGCCAGCCCCAGAAGCGAGCGCUGCUAAACCGUCCUCACCAGAGCCCACUACUGCAUUCAAGCCCAUGGAGGUGGAUCGGCCCGGCAGUAGAGGUCCCAGACCUGAUGGAGACCGGCAGAACUCGGACGCCAAGCCACCCAAGAGUGCCGCUGGCUCCACGUAGCUCACCAAGAAGGGCAAGAAGAAGAAGACAGUGAGCUGGCCUGAAGAGAGCAAGCUGCGGGAGUACUUCUACUUCGAGCUGGACGAGACUGAGCAGGUCAAGGUGAACCAGACCAAGGACUUUGGCGAGGCAGCCAAGUGGGAGAUGCUGAAGGAUAGGGAGGCCUUUGAGAUGGCACGCCGGCUCAGCCACGACGCCAUGGAAGAGGUGGUGCCCUGGGUUUACCCCAAGCUCAUCGACCUGCCUAGCCCCCGGUGCAGCUGGGCAGCGGCAGCCGUGAGCAGUUCAUCCAGGCUGAGAGGGAGAAGGGCGUCCUGCAGGAGAUCUUCCUGUCCAA